AACCAGCAUUAGAAGCACUAGCAGCAGAAAAUUCCUCUCUGGAUAAAACUCACCAGCAACAACAUUCAGCGUUCUUACAGAUUCAGUGGGAUUCAGUGACUGGAAUCUAGCAUUGCGUCGAUUGGGCCUUCGAGUUCGAGGUAUGUGCUAGAAGGGGUGCGUCGAGGACCUGUUCAUGGCUGGCGACAUUACUGCAGAUCCCGGAGCCGCAGAUUCAUUCCAGAGUGAGGUGUCGCGUGCAUGGAGGACUGUGGUCGCCGUCAUCGAGCCCCGUGGACCCAUAAUGCACUUCGAAGCCUAUGGUUGCCUCAUGCGUGGGGUAGCUCCUGGCCGACCGCCGGUGUCGAGCUCCUGGGCGCCGCUGCUCUUUUUCUUUUUGGUGAGGGGCGCCGCCGCUCUUCUCCUCUCCUCUUUUCAUUUUCUAGAUGCAGUGAAGCGAUUUCAGACAAUGCGGAGGUGUGCGGGAAUUGAGUCAAGUUUUUCCCAUCAUUUUUUUCAUCUAAAAAAAGUGGUCGUAUUGGGGACUGGCGAGUACCAAUUGACAAAUCCAAAGCCGGAAUACAUUUAGCCAAACGCAAUUAAUGUUUAUUUUCAUUCCAUUUGCAACCCCGGCGGAUAUGUAUAGACUAUGGGAAUAUAGCCGUUGUUGAAUAGAGAUGUUGAAGAUUAGUCGUUGAGAUAUAAAUGUUGGAGAACGAAGUGCUAAGAAUAUAGCUGUUGUUGAAUAAAGACGUGGGAGAUUAGUCGGUGAGAUAUAAAGGUUGGAGAAUAGAGUGCCAAGAAUAUAGACGUUGUUGAAUAGAUACGUUGGAGAUUAGUCGGUGAGAUAUAAACGUUGGAUAAUAGAGUGCUAAGAAUAUAGCCGUUGUUGAAUAGAGACGUUGGAGAUUAGUCGGUGAGAUAUAAACGUUGGAGAAUAGAGUGGUAAGAAUAUAGCCGUUGUUGAAUAGAGACGUUGAAGAUUAGUCGGUGAGAUAUAAACGUUGGAGAAUAGAGUGCUGAGAUAUGAACAUUUAAAAAAAUGUUAGAUAAUAACGGCUAGAAAAUAGACGUUGCAAUAUAGACAUUAAAAAAAUAGAUUUGUCGUGCAUUAAGUGGGGAUUUAAUGGCUCCAUUCCGCUGCCACUAUAUAUAGAUGUUCACAUAGUCGAAGGAGGUAUGAACGUGUCCAAAUCAAAAAUAAGAAGCUUGAGAAUAUCCCAAAUCAUCAAAGCCUUGUUGUCCUGCCUUACCGUGCUACCACUCUCUGCUACCCUCACCUCUCCGCCCUUUCGCACCUCCCGAAUCACCUAGUCGCCAUUUCAGCUUCUUCACUGCUCCUGGUUAGUUUUUGCACUCACAAACCAUCAUGGCCACGCCCCAGAACACACCGAUGCUGACAGCAUCAGUCUGCGUCCCAGAGACUGUGCAUGGUACACACUCCUUCAAAAUCGACAGGUACGACCUUCAUCGGGGUUUCGAUGUCGGCAACUGCAUCCAGUCCGCUAACUUCACUGUUGGCGGCCAUGAAUGGUGCAUCCGCUUCUACCCCGACGGCUACAACGAGGAUAACAAAGACUACGUGUCAGUUUUUCUCCAGCUCAAGACCAAGAACAUUGAGGUGAGGGCGAUAUACAAUCUGAUGCUGGUCAAUCAAGCAAUACAGCCGCCGGUGUUGCCUUCCAACUUCGCAAACUUCAGCGACGGACCUCCUGUGGUGUUCGACACUCGCAAUGACAAACUCGAGGCAUGGGGUUUUGUCGCAUUCAAGAAGAAGUGGGAGAUCGAAGGCUCAUCAUACAUUUUGGACAACUCAAUCAUCGUCGCAUGUAACCUUACUAUUAUCACAUUAAAGGAUGCCAAGGAGGUGGAAGCUGGGUUGGUCGGUGACAUCCAAGUGCCGCCAUCCGAAUUGGUUGCUAACCUUAGUAAAUUGUUGGGAUCUACAAAGGGAGCUGACGUGUGUUUCAAGGUCCAAAAUGAGGUAUUCCAUGCUCACGAGAUCAUCCUCGCGAUGCGGUCGCCGGUCUUCUGGGCGGAGUUCUACGGGCCGAAGAGGAUCGAGCAUAGGCACGUCAAAAACAUUGAAGAUAUGCAGCCCGGUGUCUUUAGAGGACUGCUCCACUUCAUCUACACCGACUCGUUGCCUCCGAUGAAGGACCUCAAUGCUGGUGGGUACGAAGAAAUGCUCGGGCAUUUACUUGUGGCUGCAGAUAAAUAUGACAUGAAAAGUAUGAAGUCAAUGUGCGAGAGAAAACUUUGCCAGAGGUUUGAUCAAGAGACUCUGGCGACAACAUUUGUUCUGGCCGUCCAGUACAAUUGCAGCAUCCUCAAAGAUGCUUGCAUUAAAUUUAUCAACUCCUUGAGUACUGUGGAUGGUGUGGUUGCAAGUAAAGGGUAUCAACAACUAAAAAGAGAAUGCCCUACUAUCUUUGCCGAGAUGUGGGAGAAGGCAUCCAAGGCUCGAAAAUUUUAGAUGUUCACUCUAGAUAAAUUCUCCGAGUAGUUACUUCACUUGAUGCCAUAGCAACCUGAGAUCAUUAUUUUGUCUAUUUGUUUUGGAAAAUUGUAAGUUCUACAUAUGCUAUACCAACAGUAUCCAAUUAGAUGCUUUUGUCUAUUGAUGAGCAUCACAUUUACCAUUCCAAAGUAGUGCUCAUUUCAUUUUUCAAAGUAGUGAGCCAUUGGCUACCAAGACCACAUCUAUUGUGGAUUGUAGUGCAUCGUUAGAAAACAGAAACUGCAAGAAAUUCAUUGAUUGAUCCAAAAAUUGUACAUUAUAAAGUAAAAUACACCACAAUUUCUAAAACAAUUCGAGGGGUGUCACGUAAGUGAUAGUAUAAUGAAAAUUCAAAUUUGGGUCCUAAAAGUUUGCUAAGUGUGCCACUCGCGAUCCUAUUCGUGCUACAUCAGCUUUGACUUGCACGGGUCGCAAGUUUACCACUAUCAUGUGGCGAGUUUUUCCACAACCCCCCAUNNNNNNNNNNNNNNNNNNNNNNNNNNNNNNNNNNNNNNNNNNNNNNNNNNNNNNNNNNNNNNNNNNNNNNNNNNNNNNNNNNNNNNNNNNNNNNNNNNNNNNNNNNNNNNNNNNNNNNNNNNNNNNNNNNNNNNNNNNNNNNNNNNNNNNNNNNNNNNNNNNNNNNNNNNNNNNNNNNNNNNNNNNNNNNNNNNNNNNNNNNNNNNNNNNNNNNNNNNNNNNNNNNNNNNNNNNNNNNNNNNNNNNNNNNNNNNNNNNNNNNNNNNNNNNNNNNNNNNNNNNNNNNNNNNNNNNNNNNNNNNNNNNACAAACCUACGCAGGUGUUGUCUAGCCAUCAAUCUGACCAACCCUUCCAUCCCAUUCCCCUUAUUCUCUCGCAUGAUCCAAUCAUUGCCAUCCCGCAUCUGUGUUGCCACUAAUUGUGUUGUGACAUGACCAGCUUCAUCUCGCUCUUCUACUUGGUUCGCCACUGCUACUGUCAGCUCCACCGCGUGUGGUAGUGAACCACGGUGCAGAAGGGGUCGGGGCCUCUCUACUGAUGGUACGCCUACCGAUGUGAGGAUGCUGGGCGCUGGCACCAGGCCAGAUGAAGAUGCGUCCUACCACCGCGGCCUUGCCGUGACAAGUAUAUUUGUUUUGACUAUCAAAAAUUACUUUUUUAUGACAAUGGCAACUCUAUUUAUUUGACAAUGGCAAAUUUCUUUUUUGCACGGUGUAUUGUUUUCGUUAUCUCACCAUGGCAAAUUUACAUUGUAGACCAUCGCCCAUUUUAUUUUUGGACCAAGGCAAAAGUCUUUUUAGCUUUUGCCAUGUCACACAAUAUAGUUUUGACCAUAUUAGUAAUAAAAUUCUUGCCAUGCACAAAAACAUUUUAUAUAAGGCAAAGUUGUUAAAACAUUUUACAUGGCAAAUUCACUUUAUGGCCCUUGGCAAAUUGCUUUUUUUAGACAAUGUCAAACUUCCUUUGAGACCAUGGAAAAUUUAUUGUUUGGACCAUGGCAAAAUCAUUGCUUGGACCAUGGCAAAUUUGUUUUGUUUUGGACAAUGGAAAAUUUCUUUCUAAACACCAAGCAAACUUUUAUCUUAUACAAUAUCAUAUAUUUUUAUUUAGAUUUUUUGUAACAUUGCAAAUUUGUUUAUCAAAGCAUGUUGAAAGGGCAUGUAGCCCCUAAGUGUGGUUUUGGUGAUUAAUGACAAUCUCUAUGGACUAAUGUUUUCAUUGAAAUGUAUUUGAAGGGAUUGUCCAUAGAUGGUGCAUCAAGGAUAUUAGAUGGAAUCAAGGAUAAAGUCCAUAUAUAUGAAGAUAUGUUUGCUCUAAGUAUUCGUACUAAUUGACAAAUUCCUAUGGAGCAUCAAAAGCAUUGAAUCCUAUAUGAAGAAAUGUCCCAUAGUGAUGCAUGAAGCUUGUUGGAUUUAUGUGGGAAGAAUGCCAUAAAAAUAUUCGAAGAAGUCCUCAUGGUAUCCCUCUUUGGAUACACCAUGCGCACGGGCCUCCUGACCCCCGUGCGCAUGGGGUCAAGUGUCAACUCUCUGGAUACACCGUGCACACGGGGUCCAUGACCCCCGUGCACACGGGACCUAGGUUUUGGCACUCGAGGCCCCAUAUCCAGUGAGUUUUCAAGUUGGUCUUUGGGGAUUUAUGUUGAAGCCAUCAAGAUUGAUUUUAAUGUCUAACCAAAUAUAUUCAAGGUGGAGUUCGUUAGAGGAUCUCAAAGAUAGACAUAUGUGGGCUUUUAAGGAUCAAGAGCUUGAGAGUACAAUCAAAUAGAAUAAUUCAAGUUAUGGUUUCAAGACAAGAUCAUGGUAAGCUCAUGUGUUGGGUUUUCGGUUGAUCAAGUCUUGAAGCAAGCAACUAGAGUGAAGAAUUCAUUGUGCCUCUCAAGAGAUUAUGAUGGAGUUUUUAGAGAGAAAAUGAUGACCAAUAUGAUAUUCAUAGUCAAACUUGAUAUGGUCAUGAAAGAAUCUUUGGUGAUAUCUUUCUUGAAGCAAUGAAGGGAAAUGAAGAGUUCAUUGUGGCUUUCAAGAAACCAAGGUGGGACAUGAAGUAAAGAUGUUGGUUGACCAAGAUGAAGCUCAAAGAUUAUCUAGAUGGUCAACUCUCAAAGCGCAAUCUUUGUACCACAUGGGAUCAAGUGAUCUAGUGGUAUGGUAAGUAACUGUGAAUUGUGCUUUGCUAGCUAACCCAUGCUAUGUGCUUUCUAUGUCUAUGUGGGUUAGCUGUUUCUCAUGGGCUUGCAUCAAAAGAUAGAUUUCAAGUAGCCUAUGUGUGGAUGACAUCAAGUGGUGAUGGUUAUCGGGUUCGAGGAGUCCAAGUGCAAGAUGAGAAGCCGAAGGUUAUAUGCUAUGAAGUUUGUGGUACACAUCAUGAUAAUGUGCAUGUGAAGAUGGGCUUAAGUUAAGGCGUCCCUCAUUGCAAUAUGAGGAAGCAUUUCGAGUAUGUUCACCAAGUGAUUGUGGACAAGAAAAAGAUACAACUUGGGGCAAGAAUCAAAGUCAUCACCAAGCUCAAGCUGAAUGUGCAAGGCAAAGGUAUACCUUAGCUAAGUUUUCCUAGUUUUUCCGGUCUCAUGGAGCUUGGAGGGAGAGUGGAUUAUAGGUUUGAUAGUCGUACUAUCAAGAGGGACUUUCAGGCGAGUAGCUUGAUCACAUUGCAUGUAGAGAGCUCAAAACUUUGCAUUACCUGCAGCAAUAUUUAUUGUUGAUCUUGGGUGGUUCUCUAUGUGAGGACCUUGGGCUUUUCUCUAGCUUCAAAACGAGCCUAAGAUCAUCGAAUUCAGAGUCUGUAUGCCAAAGUUAUCACUGUUUUAGUAAGCUGUUGCAGGCUGUUGUGGGUACCCCGUGGACAUGGGGUUUUUGACCCCCGUGGGCACGGGGCCCCGUGCACACGGGCUUGUACCGUGCUCACGGGACCCGUGGGCACGGGGUCUAAACCCCCAUGGGCACGGGGUGUCCAGGAACUGCCCGUUGAGCCCCAACGACUAGUUUUGGGUUUUGGCUAUUUAAGGGCUCCUCCCUCCCACCGAUUGGGGUGUUCUUCAUACACUUUCUAAACAUCAUUUUGAGCCUAUUACCACCUCUCCCAAACCCCUAUCUCCCAUCUAAGUGAAGGGGAAUUUCUGGAUGGAUCUUGGAGUCAUUUGUUGAUUCCCUUCAUUGCAUCCCCUCUCUUCAAUCUCCUACUUUCUUGAGUUGCAUCUUGUGAGAUUGAGAGAGUGUGUUGAGCAUUUGUUGCUUGACCUUGCAUUGCAUUUGUUGCAUUUGUUUGAGCUCCCCGCGUCGAUUUGUUCGAGUGUGAGCCCGUGAGUUUAUUACUCUUGGAGGCUUCCGCCUCCUAGACGGUUUGGUGAUAUAUUGAGAAGUUUGUGGAGAGGCCUAGGUGGCCAAGGUUCGUCCGGAAGCUUCCUUUUGUUGUGUGCUCCGAGGAAGGGUGUGAAGUGGCCUAGGUGGUCAAGUUCUUCCGGAAGCUUUCGUGUUUGUGGUGUGCUCCGGAGAAGUUUUUAAAGGUGUGGUGGUCGCCUUCAAGACCAACCCCGAGUGAAUCAAGGCUCACCCGUUGGGGUGACUCAAAAGGGAGAAUACGGUGAGUCACUUGGUGACGCCCCCGAGCUUUGGCUUCGGCACUGCUCCAAUGGAGAUUAGCACUCUCACGAGUGUGAACUUCGGGAUAAAUCCGCGUCCCCGACUCACUUGUGGUUAUCUCGUACCCACACCCUUUACUUUCCGCAAUUCAUACUUGCUCUUAUUGAUACAUCUUGUGCUAGUUGGAUUGCUUAGUUGUUCCUACAUUUUUCAUAUCUUGUGAUAUAGUUUGUGCUUCCUAGUUUCCUUAAGUGUCUAUCUUGUUUAGCAUAGGUUAUUGGUGCACUUAGUUGAGCCUAGCAUAUUUAAGAUUUGUGCUUGAAAAGUAUCCAUUAGUUUAAUUCCGCAUUAGGAUAUAGCUUAAUCCAUAAAAGUUUUAAAAAGCCUAUUCACCCCCCUCUAGUCGUCAUCUAGAUCAUUUCAAUUGGUAUCAGAGCUUUGGUCUCUCCUUGGUAGGCAUCACCUCCUAGAGAGUAAAGAUGUCGAGUAGUGGUACAGUGCAUGAUGACACCUUUUGUUUUAGUGGCACAAACUAUCACUUGUGGAAAAUUCGCAUGCUUUGUAUUUCCGGACCACGGGUCCAAAUUUUGUGCGAAUUGUUCUUGUAAGGGCUCCUCCAUAGAAGGAUGACCUUUUUCCAACUAAUGAGGAAAAUGAUGAUAUGCUUUGUGGGUAUGGUGCUAAGAAUGCCAUAAUCCGGUCUAUAUCCCUCGACACUACUAGGGAAAUGCUUAUACACAGGAGCUCACCAGUAGCGCUUGUUCAAGGAAAGCGUUGUUGCUAUAUAGCAGUAGCACUUGGGCAGCAUGGGCGCUGCUACUACGAUCAUAGCAGCAGCACUGAGCCUAUAAACGCGCUCCUACUACAAUUGACAGACCGUUCCAGGUAUGCUAGGGAUAGUGGUAGCGCUCACUUUUUGCAAGCGCUACUACUAUGAAUCUUAGCAAUAGCGUUUUAUCAUGAUAGUGGUAGCUAAGUCAUCGAGUGGUUGACCAGUCUCGCGCUUUAUGAUGACAAUCAGUUUUCGGCUUUCUCUACUGAGGUGCUCAUCCAGAUGAACCGGGGCACAAUCACAGUAGUUCUCCUGGUGCCACCUUAGCCGAUAGAGAGAAACGUAAGGUAGCAAAACACGGGAGCUGGGCAAACCCACCUAUUGACCAAAGACAUGAUUCGGAGCUGAUGCAUAUAAGGCCAAACUCGCGACGCCGAACACUCCCUAAGGUAUUCGGACUUUACAACAUAUACUUGGCUGAGUAACGCCUUCCAUAAUGAGCCCUGAAUUUCCAGAUACAUGCAUAGGUUUGGCGUGAUGAAAUGCCAAUAACGCCAGCAUCCACCUCUCGGUUGCGUUGAGUGCCUGGAGGGUGUGAAGCAACACGAGACAUUAAAAAAGGUUUACGCAGGGUCUUAAUCUAAAGAGAAACCUUUGAUCGGGGCCCUGCUGCACACCUGCGCCUUUGUCUCCGUUGUGCCGUACCCUGGAAGCGUGUAGCACGAUGAUCAUCUAUAAAAAAAGGAAAAAGCCCAGGUGAAAGACUUCGUGCGAAAAGUUGAUUAUUCUUAAUGAACCAUGAAAAUGUAAUCUAUUAUUGUAUUAAUAGGGUCAAGCCGGAUUAUGGGCUUUUUUACAUGCGUGCAGCCCCUAGCACCACCUAUUGGGGUAUAUCCAUCGACCCAAGCUCGGGUUUAUCUGGGCUGCUACAACUAGUGGUGCGCCGGACUCAUCUAACCGUGUCCGCGGUCUUGACGACCGAUCAUUUAUCCUGGUUGGAGAGGUCAUUCAGUGUUCGGCUGCUAGAGCCGCCGCAUAUUAUUCUGCACGUAAGGAACGCUCUGUAUUUUCGCUAACUGUGAUGACGCCACGUGGACCGGGCAUCUUAAGUUUAAGAUAAGCAUAAUGCGGUACUGCAUUGAAACGAGCGAAGGCCGUUCUUCCGAGUAGUGCGUGAUAGCCGCUUCGAAAUGGGGCGAUAUCGAAGAUUAAUUCUUCGCUUCAGAAGUUGUCAGGAGAACCGAAUACAACCUCUAGUACUAGAGAGCCCGUGCAGCGGGCCUCUACGCCUGGUAUUACUCCUUUAAAGGUAGUACUGCUUUGGCUGAUUCUUGACGGGUCUAUCCCCAUCUUGCGGACAGUGUCCUGAUAUGUCAGAUUAAGACUACUGCCGCCGUCCAUGAGGACUCGGGUGAGAUGGUAUCCGUCAGUUAUUGGGUCGAGCACCAAGGCAGCCGAUCCUCCGUGUCAGAUACUAGUCGGGUGAUCCUUGCGAUCAGAAGUGAUCGGGCAGGCCGACCAAGAGUUAAACUUGGGGCCAACGGGCUCUACAGCGUAUACGUCUCGGAGUGCGUGUUUGCGCCUCCUUUUACGUAUAUGAGUUGCGUGUAUCAUGUUCACUGUUUUGACCUCUGGUGGAAUUUUUUUCUGUCCCCGAGUGUUCGGCUGGUGAGGCUGAUCCUCGUCUUCACAAGGCGUCUCCCUUCCCUUGUGUUCGGCGUUUAGUUUGCCGGCCUGCUUGAAGACCAAGCAUUCUCUGUUGGUGUGAUUUGCAGGUUUUUCGGGGGUGCCAUGAAUCUGACAUAAUCUGUCUAGAAUCUUGUUUAGGCUAGACAAUCCAUCUCUGCUGCCUUUAAAUGGCUUUUUCCAUUGACCGGGUCGAGAGCCCCUGAAUCCGGUAUUGACCGCCGUGUUGUAUGGGCUGUCUUCAUUAUUCCGACGCUUGUUUUUAUUGCGUCGUGGCUUCCCGUUCCCAUCCCUGACUUCGGAUGUGCCUGGGUCGCUGGUGCCACUUCGGGCCAACCAGCUGUCCUCGCCCGCGCAGAAGCGGGUCAUAAGGCUUGUUAGGGCUUCCAUUGUCCUUGGCUUUUCUUGGCCAAGGUGUCUGGCGAGCCAUUCAUCUCGAAUACUGUGCUUGAAAGCCGCUAAGGCUCCGGCAUCCGGGGAGUCGACGAUUUGGUUCUUCUUUGUGAGAAAUCUGUUCCAAAGCUAACGGGCUGACUCUCCGGGUUGUUGGAUUAUGUGACUUAAAUCGUCUGCAUCCGGAGGUCGGACAUAGGUCCUUGAAAAUUGGCCCCGAAAGCAUCCUCAAGUUCCUCCCAACUUCCAAUUGAAUUUUCAGGGAGGCUUUUCAACCAAUGUCGAGCUGGUCCUUUCUGUUGGAAAUAUGCCCUAGAGGCAAUAAUAAAAGGAUUAUUAUUAUAUUUCCUUGUUCAUGAUAAUUGUAUUUUAUUCAUGCUAUAACUGUCUUAUCCGGAAAUCGUAAUACACGUGUGAAUACAUAGACCAUAACAUGUCCCUAGUGAGCCUCUAGUUGACUAGCUCGUUGGUCAACAGAUAGUCAUGGUUUCCUGACUAUGGACAUUAGAUGUCAUUGACAACGGGAUCACAUCAUUAGGAGAAUGAUGUGAUGGACAAGACCCAAUCCUAAGCAUAGCAUAAGAUCGUGUAGUUCGUUUUGCUAGAGCUUUUCCAAUGUCAAGUAUCUCUUCCUUAGACCAUGAGAUCGUGUAACUCCCGGAUACCGUAGGAGUGCUUUGGGUGUACCAAACGUCACAACGUAACUGGGUGACAAUAAAGGUGCACUACAGGUAUCUCCGAAAGUGUCUGUUGGGUUGUCACGGAUCGAGACUGGGAUUUGUCACUCCGUAUGACGGAGAGGUAUCACUGGGCCCACUCAGAAGUGCAUCAUCAUAAUGAGCUCAAAGUGACCAAGUGUUUGGUCACGGGAUCAUGCAUUACGGUACGAGUAAAGUGACUUUCCGGUAAUGAGACUAACGAGGUAUUGGGAUACCGACGAUCGAGUCUCGGGCAAGUAAUAUACCGUCUGACAAAGGGAAUUGCAUAUGGGGUUGAUUGAAUCCUCGACAUCGUGGUUCAUCUGAUGACAUCAUCGAGGAGCAUGUGGGAGCCAACAUGGGUAUCUAGAUCCCGAUGUUGGUUAUUGACCGGAGAGCCGUCUCGGUCAUGUCUGCAUAUCUCCCGAACCCGUAGGGUCUACACACUUAAGGUUCGGCGACGCUAGGGUUAUUAGGAAGACUUGUAUGUGAUUACCUAAAGUUGUUCGGAGUCCCGGAUGGGAUCCCGGACAUCACGAGGAGUUCCGGAAUGGUCCGGAGGUAAAGAUUUAUAUAUGGGAAGUUGUCAUAUGGACACCGGAAGGUUUCGGGGGCAUAUCGGUAUUGUACCGGGGCCACCGGAAGGGUUCCGGGGGUCCACCGGGAGGGGCCACCCCUCCCGAGGGGGCCACAUGGGCCGCGUGGGGCAGGAGCCAGCCCCUGGAGGGCUGGGCGCCCCCCCCCCUUGGGCCCAUGCGCCUAGGGUUGGGGGGAACCCUAGAGGGGGCGCCCCCCUUGCUUGGGGGGCAAGUCCCCCCUCCCUGGCCGCCGCCCCCCCCNNNNNNNNNNNNNNNNNNNNNNNNNNNNNNNNNNNNNNNNNNNNNNNNNNNNNNNNNNNNNNNNNNNNNNNNNNNNNNNNNNNNNNNNNNNNNNNNNNNNNNNNNNNNNNNNNNNNNACACCCAAGCCAAGGCGCAGCCCCUCCCCUCCCCAACACCUCUCCUCCUCCGUUGUGUGCUUGGCGAAGCCCUGUCGGAGUACUGCCUCUCCACCAUCAUCACGCCGUCGUGCUGCUGCUGGAGCCUUCUUCCUCAACCUCUCCUUCCCCCUUGCUGGAUCAAGAAGGAGGAGACGUCGCCCGUACCGUACGUGUGUUGAACGCGGAGGUGCUGUCCGUUCAGCACUUGAUCAUCGGUGAUCUGAAUCACGGUGAGUACGACUCCAUCAUCACCGUUCCCUCAAACGCUUCCGUACGCGAUCUACAAGUGGUAUAUAGAUGCAAACUCACUCCCUUGACUCGUUGCUUAGAUGAACUCAUAGAUGGAUCUUGGUGAAACCAUAGAAAAAAUUUUAAUUUUCUGCAAUGUUCCCCAACAGUGGCAUCAUGAGCUAGGUCUAUGCGUAGUUCUCUAUUGCACGAGUAGAACACAAUUUUGUUGUGGGCGUAGAUCUUAUCAACUUGCUUGCUGCUACUAGUCUUAUCUUGCUUCAGCGGUAUUGUGGGAUGAAGCGGCCCGGACCAACCUUACACGUACGCUUACGUGAGACCGGUUCCACCGACUGACAUGCACUAGUUGCAUAAGGUGGCUGGCGGGUGUCUGUCUCUCCCACUUUAGUUGGAGCGGAUUCGAUGAAAAGGGUCCUUAUGAAGGGUAAAUAGAAGUUGACAAGAUCACGUUGUGGUUAUUCGUAGGUAAGAAAACGUUCUUGCUAGAACCCAAUUGUAGCCACGUAAAAGAUGCAACAACAAUUAGAGGACGUCUAACUUGUUUUUGCAGCAAUUGUCAUGUGAUGUGAUAUGGCCAGAAGUUGUGAUGAAUGAUGAAUGAUAUAUUGUGAUGUAUGAGAUCAUGUUCUUGUAAUAAGAAUCACGACUUGCAUGUCGAUGAGUAUGACAACCGGCAGGAGCCAUAGGAGUUGUCUUUAUUUUUUGUAUGACCUGCGUGUCAUUGAAGAAUGCCAUGUAAAUUACUUUACUUUAUUGCUAAACGCGUUAGCCAUAGAAGUAGAAGUAGUCGUUGGCGUGACAACUUCAUGAAGACACAAUGAUGGAGAUCAUGAUGAUGGAGAUCAUGGUGUCAUGCCGGUGACAAAGAUGAUCAUGGAGCCCCGAAGAUGGAGAUCGAAGGAGUUGUAUGAUAUUAGACAUAUCAUGUCACUACUAUAUAAUUGCAUGUGAUGUUUAUUAUGUUUUAUGCAUCUUGUUUACUUAGAACGACGGUAGUAAAUAAGAUGAUCCCUUAUAAUAAUUUCAAGAAAGUGUUCCCCCUAACUGUGCACCGUUGCUAAAGUUCGUCGUUUCGAAGCACCACGUGAUGAUCGGGUGUGAUAGAUCCUUACGUUCACAUACAACAGGUGUAAGACAGAUUUACACAUGCAGAACACUUAGGGUUAACUUGACGAGCCUAGCAUGUACAGACAUGGCCUCGGAACACAAGAGACCGAAAGGUCGAACAUGAGUCGUAUAGAAGAUACGAUCAACAUGGAGAUGUUCACUGAUGAUGACUAGUCCAUCUCACGUGAUGAUCGGACACGGCCUAGUCGACUCGGAUCAUGUAACACUUAGAUGACUGGAGGGAUGUCUAAUCUGAGUGGGAGUUCAUUAAAUAAUUUGAUUAGAUGAACUUAAUUAUCAUGAACUUAGUCUAAAACUUUUGCAAAAUAUGUCUUGUAGAUCAAAUGGCCAACGCUCAUGUCAACAUGAACUUCAACGCGUUCCUAGAGAAAACCAAGCUGAAAGAUGAUGGCAGCAACUAUACGGACUGGGUCCGGAACCUGAGGAUCAUCCUCAUAGCUGCCAGGAAACAAUAUGUCCUAGAAGGACCGCUAGGUGAUGCACCCGUCCCAGAGAACCAAGACAUUAUGAAUGCUUGGCAGACUCGCGCUGAUGAUUACUCCCUCAUUCAGUGCGGCAUGCUUUACAGCUUAGAACCGGGGCUCCAAAAGCGUUUUGAGCAACACGGAGCAUAUGAGAUGUUCGAGGAGCUGAAACUAGUUUUCCAAGCUCAUGCCCGGGUCGAGAGAUAUGAAGUCUCCGACAAGUUCUAUAGUUGUAAGAUGGAGGAAAAUAGUUCUGUCAGUGAGCAUAUACUCAAAAUGUCUGGGUUGCACAACCGCUUGUCCAGCUGGACAUUAACCUCUCGGAUGAGGCGGUCAUUGACAGAAUCCUUUAGUCGCUCCCACCAAGCUACAAGAGCUUUGUGAUGAACUACAAUAUGCAGGGGAUGGUAAAGACCAUUCCUGAAGUAUUUUCAAUGCUGAAGUCAGCAGAGGUUGAAAUCAAGAAAGAACAUCAAGUGUUGAUGGUCAAUAAGACCACUAAGUUCAAGAAGGGCAAGGGUAAGAAGAACUUCAAGAAGGGCGGCAAAGAUGUUGCCGCGCCCGGUAAGCCAGUUGCCGGGAAGAAGUCAAAGAAUGGACCCAAGCCUGAAACUGAGUGCUUUUAUUGCAAGGGGAAGGGUCACUGGAAGCGGAACUGCCCCAAAUACUUAGCGGAUAAGAAGGCCGGCAACACAAAAGGUAUAUUUGAUAUACAUGUAAUUGAUGUGUACCUUACCAGUACUCGUAGUAACUCCUGGGUAUUUGAUACCGGUGCCGUUGCUCACAUUUGUAACUCACAGUAGGGGCUGCGGAAUAAGCGGAGACUGGCGAAGGACGAGGUGAUGAUGCGCGUCGGGAAUGGUUCCAAGGUCGAUGUGAUCGCCGUUGGCACGCUACCUCUACAUUUACCUACGGGAUUAGUUUUAAACCUCAAUAAUUGUUAUUCAGUGCCAAGUUUGAGCAUGAACAUUGUAUCAGGAUCUCGUUUAAUACGAGAUGGCUACUCAUUUAAAUCCGAGAAUGAUGGUUGUUCUAUUUAUAUGAGAGAUAUGUUUUAUGGUCAUGCCCCAAUGGUCAAUGGUUUAUUCCUAAUGAAUCUCGAACGUAAUAUUACACAUAUUCAUAGCGUGAAUACCAAAAGAUGUAAAGUUGAUAACGAUAGUCCCACAUACUUGUGGCACUGCCGCCUUGGUCACAUUGGUGUCAAGCGCAUGAAGAAGCUCCAUGCUGAUGGACUUUUAGAGUCUCUCGAUUAUGAAUCAUUUGACACAUGCGAACCAUGCCUCAUGGGCAAAAUGACCAAGACCCCGUUCUCCGGAACAAUGGAGCGAGCAACCAACUUGUUGGAAAUCAUACAUACUGAUGUGUGCGGUCCAAUGAGCGUUGAGGCUCGCGGAGGAUAUUGUUAUGUUCUCACUCUCACUGAUGACUUGAGUAGAUAUGGGUAUGUCUGCUUGAUGAAACACAAGUCUGAGACCUUUGAAAAGUUCAAGGAAUUUCAGAAUGAAGUAGAGAAUCAACGUGACCGAAAGAUAAAAUUCUUACGAUCGGAUCAUGGAGGAGAAUAUUUAAGUCACGAGUUUGUUACACACUUAAGAAAAUGUGGAAUCGUUUCACAACUCACGCCGCCUGGAACACCUCAGCGUAACGGUGUGUCCGAAUAUCGUAAUCGCACUCUACUAGAUAUGGUGCGAUCUAUGAUGUCUCUUACCGAUUUACCGCUAUCAUUUUGGGGAUACGCUCUAGAGACAGCUACAUUCACUUUAAAUAGGGCACCGUCUAAAUCCGUUGAGACGACACCAUAUGAAUUAUGGUUUGGGAAGAAACCUAAGCUGUCGUUUCUAAAAGUUUGGGGAUGCGAUGCUUAUGUCAAGAAACUUCAACCUGAAAAGCUCGAACCCAAGUCGGAAAAAUGCGUCUUCAUAGGAUACCCUAAAGAAACCAUUGGGUAUACCUUCUACUUAAGAUCCGAAGGCAAGAUCUUUGUUGCCAAGAACAGAUCCUUUCUGGAAAAAGUGUUUCUCUCGAAAGAAGUAAGUGGGAGGAAAGUAGAACUCGAUGAAGUACUACCUCUUGAACAGGAUAGUAGUGCAGCUCAGGAAAAUGUUCCUGUGAUGCCUACACCAACUGAAGAGGAAAACAAUGAUGAUGAUCAAGGUACUUCGGAUCAAGUUGCUACUGAACUUCGUAGGUCCACAAGGACACGUUCCGCACCAGAGUGGUACGGCAACCCUGUCCUGGAAAUCAUGUUGUUGGACAACGGUGAACCUUCGAACUAUGAAGAAGCAAUGGCGGGCCCAGAUUCCAACAAAUGGCUAGAAGCCAUGAAAUCCGAGAUAGAAUCCACGUAUGAAAACAAAGUAUGGACUUUGACUGACUUGCCCGAUGAUCGGCGAGCGAUAGAAAACAAAUGGAUCUUUAAGAAGAAGACGGACGCAGAUGGUAAUGUCACCAUCUAUAAAGCUCGACUUGUCGCUAAGGGUUAUUGGCAAGUUCAAGGGAUUGACUAUGAUGAGACUUUCUCUCCCGUAGCGAAGCUUAAGUCCGUCCGAAUCAUGUUAGCAAUUGCUGCAUACUAUGAUUAUGAGAUAUGGCAGAUGGACGUCAAAACGGCAUUCCUUAACGGGCAUCUUAAGGAAGAAAUGUAUAUGAUGCAGCCGGAGGGUUUUGUCGAUCCUAAGAAUGCUAACAAAGUAUGCAAGCUCCAACGAUCCAUUUAUGGGCUGGUGCAAGCAUCUCGGAGUUCGAACAUUCGCUUUGAUGAGAUGAUCAAAGCGUUUGGGUUUAUGCAGACUUAUGGAGAAGCCUGCGUUUACAAGAAAGUGAGUGGGAGCUCCGUAGCAUUUCUCAUAUUAUAUGUAGAUGACAUAUUUUUGAUGGGAAAUGAUAUAGAAUUCUUGGACAGCAUUAAGGCCUACUUGAAUAAGUGUUUUUCAAUGAAGGACCUUGGAGAAGCUGCUUAUAUAUUAGGCAUCAAGAUCUAUAGGGAUAGAUCGAGACGCCUCAUAGGUCUUUCACAAAGCACAUACCUUGAUAAGAUUUUGAAGAAGUUCAAAAUGGAUCAGUCCAAGAAAGGGUUCUUGCCUGUACUGCAAGGUGUGACAUUGAGCUCGGCUCAAUGCCCGACCACGGCAAAAGAUAAAGAAGAGAUGAGCGUCAUCCCCUAUGCCUCAGACAUAGGAUCUAUUAUGUAUGCCAUGCUGUGUACCAGACCUGAUGUAAACCUUGUCGUAAGUUUGGUAGGUAGGUACCAAAGUAAUCCCGGCAAGGAACACUGGACAGCGGUCAAGAAUAUCCUGAAGUACCUGAAAAGGACAAAGUGAAGGAAAUAUGCCCUAGAGGCAAUAAUAAAGUUAUUAUUUAUUUCCUCAUAUCAUGAUAAAUGUUUAUUAUUCAUGCUAGAAUUGUAUUAACCGGAAACAUGAUACAUGUGUGAAUACAUAGACAAACAUAUAGUCACUAGUAUGCCUCUACUAGACUAGCUCGUUAAUCAAAGAUGUUAUGUUUCCUAACCAUAGACAUGUGUUGUCAUUUGAUUAAUGGGAUCACAUCAUUAGGAGAAUGAUGUGAUUGACAUGACCCAUUCCGUUAGCCUAGCACUUGAUCGUUUAGUAUAUUGCUAUUGCUUUCUUCAUGACUUAUACAUGUUCCUGUAACUAUGAGAAUUAUGCAACUCCCGUUUACCGGAGGAACACUUUGCAUACUACCAAACGUCACAACGUAACUGGGUGAUUAUAAAGGAGUACUAUAGGUGUCUCCGAAGGUACAUGUUGAGUUGGCGUAUUUCGAGAUUAGGUUUUGUCACUCCGAUUGUCGGAGAGGUAUCUCUGGGCCCUCUCGGUAAUGCACAUCACUAUAAGCCUUGCAAGCAAUGUGACCAAAUGAUUUGGUUACGGGAUGAAGCAUUACGGAACGAGUAAAGAGACUUGCCGGUAACGAGAUUGAACUAGGUAUUGGAUACCGACGAUCAAAUCUCGGGCAAGUAACAUACCGAUGACAAAGGGAACAACGUAUGUUGUUAUGCAGUUUGACCGAUAAAGAUCUUCGUAGAAUAUGUAGGAACCAAUAUGAGCAUCCAGGUUCCGCUAUUAGUUAUUGACCGAGAAUAGUUCUAGGUCAUGUCUACAUAGUUCUCGAACCUGUAGGGUCCGCACGCUUAACGUUACGAUAACAGUUUUAUUAUGAGUUUAUAAGUUUUGAUGUACCGAAGUUUGUUCGGAGUCCCGGAUGUGAUCACGGACGUAACGAGGAGUCUCGAAAUGGUCGAGACAUAAAGAUUGAUAUAUUGGAAGCCUAUAUUUGGACAUCGGAAUCGUUCCGGGUGNNNNNNNNNNNNNNNNNNNNNNNNNNNNNNNNNNNNNNNNNNNNNNNNNNNNNNNNNNNNNNNNNNNNNNNNNNNNNNNNNNNNNNNNNNNNNNNNNNNNNNNNNNNNNNNNNNNNNNNNNNNNNNNNNNNNNNNNNNNNNNNNNNNNNNNNNNNNNNNNNNNNNNNNNNNNNNNNNNNNNNNNNNNNNNNNNNNNNNNNNNNNNNNNNNNNNNNNNNNNNNNNNNNNNNNNNNNNNUGCGCCCCUCCCCUUCCUAGUCCGAAUAGGACAAGGGAAAGGGGGCGGCGCCCCCCCUUUCCUUCCCCUCUUCCUCCUCUUUCCCCCCUUCUCCUAUUCCAACUAGGAAAGAAGGGAGUCCUACUCCCGGUGGGAGUAGGACUCCCCCCUUGGCGCGCCCUCCUUGGCUGGCCGCCUCCUCCCCCCUGGCUCCUUUAUAUACGGGGGUGGGGGGCAACCCAUGGACACACAAGUUGAUCUACGAUCGUUCCUUAGCCGUGUGCAGUGCCCCCCUCCACCAUAUUCCACCUCGGUCAUAUCGUCACAAAGCUUAGGCGAAGCCCUGCGCCGGUAGAACAUCAUCAUCGUCACCACACCAUCGUGCUGACGGAACUCAUCCCCGAAGCUUUGCUGGAUCGGAGCCCGGGGAUCGUCAUCGAGCUGAACGUGUGUUGAACUCGGAGGUGCCGUACGUUCGGUGCUUGGAUCGGUCGGAUCGUGAAGACGUACGACUACAUCAACCGCGUUGUGCUAACGCUUCCGCUUACGGUCUACGAGGGUACGUGGACAAACACUCUCCCCUCUCGUUGCUAUGCCAUCACCAUGAUCUUGCGUGUGCGUAGGAAAUUUUUUGAAAUUACUACGUUCCCCAACAGUGGUAUCCGAGCCUAGGUUUUAUGCGUUGAUGUUAUAUGCAUGAGUAGAACACAAGUGAGUUGUGGGCGAUACAAGUCAUACUGCUUACCAGCAUGUCAUACUUUGGUUCAGCAGUAUUGUGAGAUGAAGCGGCCUGGACCGACAUUACGCGUAUGCUUACUCGAGACUGGUUUCACCGUUGCGAGCACUCAUGCUUAAAGGUGGCUGGCGGGUGUCUGUCUCUCUCAGUUUAGCUGAAUCGAGUGUGGCUACGCCCGGUCCUUGCGAAGGUUAAAACAGCACCAACUUGACGAACUAUCGUUGUGGUUUUUAUGCGUAGGUAAGAACGGUUCUUGCUAAAGCCCGUAGCAGCCACGUAAAAUUUGCAACAACAAAGUAGAGGACGUCUAACUUGUUUUUGCAGGGCAUGUUGUGAUGUGAUAUGGUCAAGACGUGAUGCUAUAUUUUAUUGUAUGAGAUGAUCAUGUUUUGUAACCGAAGUUAUCGGCAACUGGCAGGAGCCAUAUGGUUGUCGCUUUAUUGUAUGAACUGCAAACGCCCUGUAAUUGCUUUACUUUAUCUCUAAGCAGUAGCGAUAGUCGUAGAAGCAAUAGAUGGCGUAACGACAAUGAUGCUACGAUGAAGAUCAAGGUGUCGCGCCGGUGAUGAUGGUGAUCACGACGGUGCUUCGAAGAUGGAGAUCACAAGCACAAGAUGAUGAUGGCCAUAUCAUAUCACUUAUAUUGAUUGCAUGUGAUGUUUAUCCUUUAUGCAUCUUAUCUUGCUUUGAUUGACGGUAGCAUUUUAAGAUGAUCUCUCACUAAUAAUCAAGAAGUGUUCUCCCUGAGUAUGCACCGUUGCGAAAGUUCUUCAUGCUGAGACACCACGUGAUGAUCGGGUGUGAUAGGCUCUACGUUCAAAUACAACGGGUGCAAAACAGUUGCACACGCGGAAUACUCAGGUCAUACUUGACGAGCCUAGCAUAUAUAGAUAUGGCCUCGGAACACGGAGACCGAAAGGUCAAGCGUGAAUCAUAUAGUAGAUAUGAUCAACAUAGUGAUGUUCACCAUUGAAACUACUCCAUCUCACGUGAUGAUCGGACAUGGUUUAGUUGAUUUGGAUCACGUGAUCACUUAGAUGACUAGAGAGAUGUCUGUCUAAUUGGGAGUUCUUAAGUAAUAUGAUUAAUUGAACUUUAAUUUAUCAUGAACUUAGUCCUGGUAGUAUUUUACAAAUUAUGUUGUAGAUCAAUAGCUUGCGUUGUUGCUUUCAUAUGUUUAUUUUGAUAUGUUCCUAGAGAAAAUUAUGUUGAAAAAUGUUGGUAGCAAUGAUGCGGAUUGGAUCCGUGAUCUGAGGUUUAUCCUCAUUGCUGCACAGAAGAAUUAUGUCCUUAAUGCACCGCUAGGUGAUAGACCUAUUGCAGGAGCAAAUGCAGACGUUAUGAACGUUUGGCUAGCUCAAUAUGAUGACUACUUGAUAGUUUAGUGCACCAUACUUAACAGCUUAGAAUCGGGACUUCAAAGACAUUUUGAACGUCAUGGACCAUAUGAGAUGUUCCAGGAGUUGAAGUUAAUAUUUCAAGAAAAUACCCGAGUUGAGAGAUAUGAAGUCUCCAACAAGUUCUAUAGCUAAAAGAUGGAGGAGAAUCGCUCAACUAGUGAGCAUGUGCUCAGAUUGUCUGGGUACUUCAAUCACUUGAAUCAAGUGGGAGUUAAUCUUCCAGAUAAGAUAGUGAUUGACAGAAUUCUCUAGUCACCAUCACUAAGUUACUAGAACUUCGUGAUGAACUAUAGUAUGCAAGGGAUGACGAAAACGAUUCUCGAGCUCUUCAUGAUGUUGAAAUCAACGAAGGUAGAAAUUGAGAAAGAGCAUCAAGUGUUGAUGGUUGACAAGAUCACUAGUUUCAAGAAAAGGGCAAAGGGAAAGAAAGGGAACUUCAAGCAGAAUGGCAAGCAAGUUGUCACUCCCGCGAAGAAGCCCAAAGCUGGACCAAAGCCUAAAACUGAGUGAUUAUACCGCAAAGGAAAUGGUCACUAGAAGCGGAAAUGCCUUGAAUAUUUGGUGGAUAAGAAGGAUGGCAAAGUGAACAAGGGUAUAUUUGAUAUACAUGUUAUUGAUGUGUACCUUACUAGUGUUUAUAGUAACCCCUGAGUAUUUGAUAAUUGUUCGGUUGCUAAGAUUAGUAACUCGAAACAGGAGUUACAGAAUAAACAGAAACUAGUUGAGGGUGAAGAGACGAUGUGUGUUGGAAGUGGUUCCAAGAUUCAUAUGAUCAUCAUCACACACUCCCUAUACCUUCGGGAUUAGUGUUAAACCUAAAUAAAUGUUAUUUGGCGUUUGCGUUGAACAUGAAUAUGAUUUGAUCAUGUUUAUUGCGAUACGGUUAUUCAUUUAAAGUCAAAGAAUAAUUGUUGUUCUGUUUACAUGAAUAAAACCUUCAAUGGUCAUACACCCAAUGAAAAUAGUUUGUUGGAUCUUGAUCGUAAUGAUACACAUAUUCAUAAUAUUGAUGCCAAAAGAUGCAAAGUUAAUAAUGAUAGUGCAACUUGUUUGUGGCACUGCCGUUUGGGUCAUAUCGGUGUAAAGCGCAUGAAGAAACUCCAUAACGAUGGAUUUUCGGAAUCACUUGGUUAUGAAUCAUUUGAUGCUUGCGAACCGUGCCUUUUGGGCAAGAUGACUAAAACUCCGUUCUCCGGAACAAUGGAACAAGCUACUGACUUAUUGGAAAUAAUACAUACUGAUGUAUGCGAUCCAAUGAGUGUUGAUGCUCGUGGCAAGUAUCGUUAUUUUCUGACCUUCACAAGAUGAUUUGAGCAGAUAUGGGUAUAUCUACUUGAUGAAACAUAAGUCUGAAAUAGUUGAAAGGUUCAAAGAAUUUCAGAGUGAAGUGGAAAAAUCAUCAUAACAAGAAAAUAAAGUUUCUGCGAUCUGAUCGCGAAGACGAAUAUUUGAGUUACGAGUUUGGUCUUCAAUUAAAACAAUGUGGAAUAGUUUCACAGCUCACGCCACAUGGAACACCACAAUGUAAUGGUGUGUCCGAACGUCGUAAUCGUACUUUACUAGAUAUGGUGCGAUCUAUGAUGUCUCUUAUCGGUUUACCACUAUCGUUUUGGGGUUAUGCAUUAGAGACAGUUGCAUUCACUUUAAAUAGGGCACCAUCAAAGUCCGUUGAGACGACGCCUUAUGAAUUGUGGUUUGGCAAGAAACCAAAGUUGUCGUUUCUUAAAUUUUGGGGCUGCGAUGCUUAUGUGAAAAAAGUUUCAACCUGAUAAACUCAAACCCAAAUCGGAGAAGUGCGUCUUCAUAGAAUACCCAAAGGUAACUAUUGGGUACACCUUCUAUCACAGAUCCGAAGGCAAGUUAUUCGUUGCUAAAAUGGAUCCUGUCUAGAGAAGAAGUUUCUCUCGAAAGAAGUGAGUGGGAGGUAAGUAGAACUUGAUGAGGUAACUAUACCUGCUCCCUUAUUGGAAAGUAGUUCAUCAUAGAAAUCUGUUCCUGUGACUACUACACCAAUUAGUGAGGAAGUUAAUGAUGAUGAUCAUGAAACUUCAGAUUAAGUUACUACAGAACCAUGUAGGUUUUCCAGAGUAAGAUCCGCACCAGAGUGGUACGGUAAUCCCGUUCUAGAAGUCAUGUUACUAGACCAUGAUGAACCUACGAACUAUGAGGAAGCGAUGAUGAGCCCAGAUUCCUCGAAAUGGCUUGAGGCCAUGAAAUCUGAGAUAGGAUCCAUGUAUGAGAACAAAGUAUGGACUUUGAUUGACUUGCUGGAUGAUCAGCAAGCCAUGUUAAAUAAAUGGAUCUUCAAGAGGAAGACAGACACUGAUAGUAGUGUUACUAUCUACUAAGCUCGACUUGUUGCGAAAGGUUUUCAACAAGUUCAAGGUAUUGAAUACGAUGAGAUUUUCUCACUUGUAUCGAAGCUUGAGUCUGUCAGGAUCAUGUUAGCAAUUGCCACAUUUUAUGAAAUCUGGCAAAUGGAUGUGAAAACUGCAUUCCUUAAUGGAUUUAUUCAAGAAGAGUUGUAUAUGAUGCAACCAGAAAGUUUUUGUCAAUCCUAAAGAUGCUAACAAAGUGUGCAAGCUCUAGCAAUCCAUCAAUGGACUGGUGCAAGCAUCUCGGAGUUGGAAUAUAUGCUUUGAUGAGUUGAUCAAAGCAUAUGGUUUUAUACAGACUUUUGAAGAAGCCUGUAUUUACAAGAAAGUGAGUGGGAGCUCUGUAGCAUUUCUAAUUAUUAUAUGUGGAUGACAUAUUGUUAAUUGGAAAUGAUAUGGAAAUUCUGGAUAGCAUGAAAGGAUACUUGAAUAAGAGUUUUUCAAAGCAAGACCUCGGUGAAGCUGCUUACACAUUGAGCAUCAAGAUCUAUAUAGAUAGAUCAAGACGCUUGAUAAGAUUUUUCAAUGAGUACAUACCUUGAUAAAUUUUUGAAAUAGUUCAAAAUGGAACAGUCAAAGAAGGAGUUCUUGCCUGUAUUACAAGGUGUGAAGUUGAGUAAGACUCAAGACCCGACCAUUGCAAAAAAUAGAAAGAGAAUGAAAAGUCAUUCCCUAUGCCUCAGUCAUAGGUUCUAUAAAGUAUGCUAUGCUGUGAACUAGACCUAUUGUAUACCUUGCUCUGUGUUUGGCAAAGGAAUACAAUUUUGAUCUAAUAAGUAGAUCACUGGACAUGGGUCAAGAAUAUCCUUAGUGAGGACUAAGGAGAUGUUUCUCGAUUAUGGAGGUGAUAAAAGAGCCCGUCGUUAAAGUUACAACGAUGCAAGCUUUUACACCAAUCCAGAUGACUCAAAGUCUCAAUCUGGAUACAUAUUGAAAGUGGGAGCAAUUAGCUAGAGUAGCUCCGUGCAGAGCAUUGUGGACAUAGAAUAUUUGCGAAAUACCUACGGCUCUGAAUAUGACAGACCCGUUGAUUGAGCUUCUCUCACGAGCAAAACAUGAUCAUACUCUAGUAAACCCUUUGGGUGUUGAUCACAUGAUGAUGUGAACUAUGGGUAUUAAUCACAUGCAGAUGUGAAUAUUGGUGUUAAAUCACAUAGCGAUGUGAACUAGAUUAUUGACUCUAGUGCAAGUGGGAGACUGAAGGAAAUAUGCCCUAGAGGCAAUAAUAAAGUUAUUAUUUAUUUCCUCAUAUCAUGAUAAAUGUUUAUUAUUCAUGCUAGAAUUGUAUUAACCGGAAACAUGAUACAUGUGUGAAUACAUAGACAAACAUAUAGUCACUAGUAUGCCUCUACUAGACUAGCUCAUUAAUCAAAGAUGGUUAUGUUUCCUAACCAUAGACAUGUGUUAUCAUUUGAUUAAUGGGAUCACAUCGUUAGGAGAAUGAUGUGAUUGACAUGACCCAUUCCGUUAGCCUAGCACUUGAUCGUUUAGUAUAUUGCUAUUGCUUUCUUCAUGACUUAUACAUGUUCCUGUAACUAUGACAAUUAUGCAACUCCCGUUUACCGAAGGAACACUUUGGGUACUACCAAACAUCAUAACGUAACUGGGUGAUUAUAAAGGAGUACUACAGGUGUCUCCGAAGGUACAUGUUGAGUUGGCAUAUUUCGAGAUUAGGUUUUGUCACUCCGAUUGUCGGAGAGGUAUCUCUGGGCCCUCUCGGUAAUGCACAUCACUAUAAGCCUUGCAAGCAAUGUGACCAAAUGAGUUGGUUACGGGAUGAUGCAUUACGGAACGAGUAAAGAGACUUGCCGGUAACGAGAUUGAACUAGGUAUUGGAUACCGACGAUCAAAUCUCGGGCAAGUAACAUACCGAUGACAAAGGGAACAACGUAUGUUGUUAUGCGAUUUGACCGAUAAAGAUCUUCGUAGAAUAUGUAGGAACCAAUAUGAGCAUCUAGGUUCCGCUAUUGGUUAUUGACCGAGAAUAGUUCUAGGUCAUGUCUACAUAGUUCUCGAACCCGUAGGGUCCGCACGCUUAACGUUACGAUGACAGUUUUAUUAUGAGUUUAUAAGUUUUGAUGUACCGAAGUUUGUUCGGAGUCCCGGAUGUGAUCACGGACGUAACGAGGAGUCUCGAAAUGGUCGAGACAUAAAGAUUGAUAUAUUGUAAGCCUAUAUUUGGACAUCAGAAUCAUUCCGGGUGAAAUCGGCAUUUUACCGGAGCACCGGGAGGUUACCGGAACCCCCCCCCGGGGGUUAUUGGGCCUACAUGGGCCUCGAGGGAGAAGAGAGAAGGAGGCAGGAGGGGGCCGUGCGCCCCUCCCCUUCCUAGUCCGAAUAGGACAAGGGAAGGGGGGCGGCGCCCCCCCUUUCCUUCCCCUCUUCCUCCUCUUUCCCCCCUUCUCCUAUUCCAACUAGGAAAGAAGGGAGUCCUACUCCCGGUGGGAGUAGGACUCCCCCCUUGGCGCGCCCUCCUUGGCCGGCCGCCUCCUCCCCCCUGGCUCCUUUAUAUACGGGGGCGGGGGGCAACCCAUGGACACACAAGUUGAUCUACGGAUCGUUCCUUAGCCGUGUGCGGUGCCCCCCUCCACCAUAUUCCACCUCGGUCAUAUCGUCGCGAAGCUUAGGCGAAGCCCUGCGCCGGUAGAACAUCAUCAUCGUCACCACGCCGUCGUGCUGACGGAACUCAUCCCCGAAGCUUUGCUGGAUCGGAGCCCGGGGAUCGUCAUCGAGCUGAACGUGUGCUGAACUCGGAGGUGUCGUACGUUCGGUGCUUGGAUCGGUCGAAUCGUGAAGACGUACGACUACAUCAACCGCGUUGUGCUAACGCUUCCUCUUACGGUCUACGAGGGUACGUGGACAAACACUCUCCCCUCUCGUUGCUAUGCCAUCACCAUGAUCUUGCGUGUGCGUAGGAAAUGUUUUGAAAUUACUACGUUCCCCAACACAAAGGACAUGUUUCUCGUUUAUGGAGGUGACGAAGAGCUUGUCGUAAAGGGUUAUGUCGACGCUAGCUUCAACACAGAUCUGGAUGACUCUAAGUCACAAAUCGGAUACGUGUAUAUGUUGAAUGGUGGAGCAGUAAGUUGGUGCAGCUGCAAGCAGAGCGUCGUGGCGGGAUCUACAUGUGAAGCGGAGUACAUGGCAGCCUCGGAGGCAGCGCAUGAAGCAAUUUGGGUGAAGGAGUUCAUCACCAACCUAGGAGUCAUACCCAAUGCGUCGGGGCCGAUCAAACUCUUCUGUGACAACACUGGAGCUAUUGCCCUUGCCAAGGAGCCCAGGUUCCACAAGAAGACCAGGCACAUCAAGCGUCGUUUCAACUCCAUCCGUGAAAAUGUUCAAGAUGGAGACAUAGAUAUUUGCAAAGUACAUACGGAUCUGAAUGUCGCAGAUCCGUUGACUAAACCUCUCUCGCGAGCAAAACAUGAUCAACAACAGAACUCUAUGGGUGUUCGAUUCAUCACAAUGUAACUAGAUUAUUAACUCUAGUGCAAGUGGGAGACUGUUGGAAAUAUGCCCUAGAGGCAAUAAUAAAAGGAUUAUUAUUAUAUUUCCUUGUUCAUGAUAAUUGUCUUUUAUUCAUGCUAUAACUGUAUUAUCCGGAAAUUGUAAUACACGUGUGAAUACAUAGACCAUAACAUGUCCCUAGUGAGCCUCUAGUUGACUAGCUCGUUUGUCAAUAGAUAGUCAUGGUUUCCUGACUAUGGACAUUAGAUGUCAUUGACAACGGGAUCACAUCAUUAGGAGAAUGAUGUGAUGGACAAGACCCAAUCCUAAGCAUAGCACAAGAUCGUGUAGUUCAUUUUGCUAGAGCUUUUCCAAUGUCAAGUAUCUCUUCCUUAGACCAUGAGAUCGUGUAACUCCCGGAUACCGUAGGAAUGCUUUGGGUGUACCAAACGUCACAACGUAACUGGGUGACAAUAAAGGUGCACUACAGGUAUCUCUGAAAGUGUCUGUUGGGUUGACACGGAUCGAGACUGGGAUUUGUCACUCCGUAUGACGGAGAGGUAUCACUGGGCCCACUCGGUAGUGCAUCAUCAUAAUGAGCUCAAAGUGACCAAGUGUUUGGUCACGGGAUCAUGCAUUACGAUACGAGUAAAGUGACUUGCCGGUAACGAGACUAACGAGGUAUUGGGAUACCGACGAUCGAGUCUCGGGCAAGUACAUACCAUCUAACAAAGGGAAUUGCAUACGGGGUUGAUUGAAUCCUCGACAUCGUGGUUCAUCCGAUGACAUCAUCGAGGAGCAUGUGGGAGCCAACAUGGGUAUCCAGAUCCCGCUGUUGGUUAUUGACCGGAGAGCCGUCUCGGUCAUGUCUGCAUAUCUCCCGAACCCGUAGGGUCUACACACUUAAGGUUCGGCGACGCUAGGGUUAUUAGGAAGACUUGUAUGUGAUUACCGAAAGUUGUUUGGAGUCCCGGAUGGGAUCCCGGACGUCACGAGGAGUUCCGGAAUGGUCCGGAGGUAAAGAUUUAUAUAUGGGAAGUUGUCAUACGGACACCGGAAGGUUUCGGGGGCAUAUCGGUAUUGUACCGGGGCCACCGGAAGGGUUCCGGGGGUCCACUGGGAGGGGCCACCCCUCCCGGGGGGGGCACAUGGGCCGCGUGGGGCAGGAGCCAGCCCCUGGAGGGCUGGGCGCCCCCCCCCUUGGGCCCAUGCGCCUAGGGUUGGGGGGGAACCCUAGAGGGGGCGCCCCCCUUGCUUGGGGGGAAAGUCCCCCCUCCCUGGCCGCCGCCCCCCCCUCUAGAUCCCAUCUAGAGGGGCCGGCCCCCCUUGCCCCUUCCCCUAUAAAUAGAGGGGUGAGGGGAGGGCUGAACGACCAAGCCAAGGCGCAGCCCCUCCCCUCCCCAACACCUCUCCUCCUCCGUUGUGUGCUUGGCGAAGCCCUGUCGGAGUACUGCCUCUCCACCAUCAUCACGCCAUCGUGCUGCUGCUGGAGCCUUCUUCCUCAACCUCUCCUUCCCCCUUGCUGGAUCAAGAAGGAGGAGACGUCGCCCGUACCGUACGUGUGUUGAAUGCGGAGGUGCUGUCCGUUCAGCACUUGGUCAUCGGUGAUCUGAAUCACGGCGAGUACGACUCCAUCAUCACCGUUCCCUCGAACGCUUCCGUACGCGAUCUACAAGUGGUAUGUAGAUGCAAACUCACUCCCUUGACUCGUUGCUUAGAUGAACUCAUAGAUGGAUCUUGGUGAAACCGUAGAAAAAAUUUUAAUUUUCUGCAACGUUCCCCAACACUUUCAACUUGAGGGGCAGGUAUUUAGUGGCGUGGAGAUCAUCUCCGAGAGCCAUGUAGAUGUGAAGGAUAAAGUCCUCAAUCCAGACCCCAGGGUCUGUCGUUCCAUCGUAUGCCUCUAUAUUCACGGGUUUAAAUCCCUCUAGAAAUUCAUGAUCCAGCACCUCAUCGGUGAAGCACAGGGGGUGUGCGGCACCCCUGUAUUUGCAUGUGUCGUGGCAUGCUGUCGAUGGUUGUUGUGUUCGGUGUUGAUUCCGAGCUAGUAUUCGAUCAAUAUGGUCAUUUUGGUGGCUGUGAUCCUGCGCCUGAACGCGCUUCCUAGAUCCGUAGAUGGACCUGGCCAUACCGGCUUUUUUGUCCAAGAGCUCAUGUAAAUCGUGUGCGGACUAGUGUGCGGCAUCAUUAGCCGCCCUGUCGCGACCACGAGGUGGUCGGUCCGGCAGAUCGGUCAUUUUAUUUUUCGGCUGAAUGGGAUCUAUAGCCUCAUCGUCGAAUUCAGGCAGCAGCUUGCGCUUUGGGUAGCUCUUUGUGUGGCGAUUGCCACCGUAUUUUUCUUCAAUGUCAAGCACUUUGUUCCAUCUGCGGUUGAGCGUGUCCUGCCCGGCCUUAAGCCUUUGCUUCUGCUUCUUCAAGCUCCUCACGGUGGCAAUAAGCCUUCUAUGGAGGUUCUCUUGUUCCAAGUGUUUUUCCGGGAUGAUGAGUGCAUCGUCGUCCGGACUGUUCUCCUCUCCGGAGACAGGUUGAUCAGUUUUACCCUUGGGAUCGCCAUCAUCGGACAUCGGCUCCGGACUAUGUUCACCGUCCCCUGGCACUUCCUGCUCCAUCGUUGGGUCCAUGGGGUCGUCGUUUCCUUUGGAGUCGACCGGGGUGUUAUUCUUUCUUGCGUUGUUAUCGUUGUUUUUACUGUGGCGGGAUUUAGAGCGGCGCCUACGUCGUCGCUUUGGUUGCUGCACGAGGGCAUUAUCCUCCAUUGCAUCCUUCCGCUCCUCACCGCUAUUUUCUUUGGGUGUAUCCACCAUGUAUAUAUCAUAUGACGAAGUGGCAGUCCAGCACCUUGUGGGCGGUGGUUCCUGUUCUUCUCCUGCAUCGUCGUCCAUACCGUCGAUGUCUUCGGAGUCGAAGUCAAGCAUGUCGGUGAAGUUAUCGACAGUGGCUAUUAAGUGGGUGGUGGGUGGGGAAUGAAUUUCUUCGUCGUCCGCUUCCCGCUCAAGCCGGAUAUAGUUUGGCCAAGAAUCUCCUGACAGAGAGAGAGACCACAAUGAAUUUAGCACGUUGCCCAAGGGCGAGUGCUGAAAGAUAUCCGCGGAGGUAAAAUCCGUGAUCGGUGCCCAACCAGAUUCGAUAGCCACGGACGCACACGGUUCGGAACCUAUAGCCGGAGACGAGUCCGAGGGUCCGAUGACAUAGAUCUCUUUGGAGGUGAAGUCUGUGUUCGGCUCCGUCGAAGAUCAAGUCUCCGCGGAUGUCGGCAGUGUAGUUCAAGUUUCCAAACCUGACCUGACGGCCAGGGGCGUAGCUAUCGAUCUGCUCCAGAUGGCCAAGCGAGUUGGCCUGCAAUACGAAGCCGCCGAAUAUGAAGAUCUGUCCGGGGAGGAAAACCUCACCCUGGACCGCAUCGUUGCAGAUGAUUGAAGGAGCCAUCAAGCCUUAUCGUGACGACACAGUGGAACUCUCAAUGAAAGCACCAAUGUCGGUGUCAAAACCGGCGGAUCUCGGGUAAGGGGUCCCGAACUGUGCGUCUAAGGCUAAUGGUAACAGGAGGCGGGGGACAUGAUGUUUACCCAGGUUCAGGCCCUCUCGAUGGAGGUAAUACCCUACUUCCUGCUUGAUUGAUCUUGAUGAUAUGAGUAUUAAAAGAGUUGAUCUACCACGAGAUCAUAGAGGCUAAACCCUAGAAGCUAGCCUAUGAUUAUGAUUGUUCUUAUCCUACGGACUGAACCCUCCGGUUUAUAUAGACACAGGAGGGGGCUAGGGUUACACAGAGUCGGUUACAGAGAAGGAGAUCUACAUAUCCGAAUUGCCAAGCUUGCCUUCCACGCAAAGGAGAGUCCCACCCGGACAUGGGACGAAGUCUUCAAUCUUGUAUCUUCAUAGUCCAACAGUCCGGCCAAAAUAUAUNNNNNNNNNNNNNNNNNNNNNNNNNNNNNNNNNNNNNNNNNNNNNNNNNNNNNNNNNNNNNNNNNNNNNNNNNNNNNNNNNNNNNNNNNNNNNNNNNNNNNNNNNNNNNNNNNNNNNNNNNNNNNNNNNNNNNNNNNNNNNNNNNNNNNNNNNNNNNNNNNNNNNNNNNNNNNNNCAAAAAACACACAUACACAUUUGUGAUCCUUCUAAGGCAGGAUGACCCAAGCUAUUCUGGGUGCCUUGUGACACCUUGUACUCUAGCCUCUACAAUAAUGCCAAUGUCAUCUUCUUCCACCCCCUGGCUCACCACCGUUCCCCAAUUCUCAAUGGACGUGUGCAAGAAUAACAGAAGUGGAGAAAAUAAAAAUGGUUAGAUGCUCAAAUCUAAAUAAAGUAUAUGCUAAUAAAAUCAAUUAUGUUUGAGUCAAAAUUAUUAGACAUGAGUGCAAAGGAAAAAACUCUCAAAUCAUCAAAUCAUGGCCCCCCGAAUCGCCUCGACGACACUAUUGUUCCCAUCUGGUGCCGCCUUUCCCCACCUGCGAGUCAUCCCGCUACCACCCGCGUUUCCCUUUCCCUGCAGUCAGAUCAUGUUGUUGCCAUUGUCCUUGCCUGCUACUCCAAUCGAGAAAUGGCCGUGCUGCGAGACAAACGAUGACAACCUCGACCUGCACCCCAUAGAUUGCGGAUGGCAAACGCUUGUUCAUAAGGCCAUGUUGAUUGUGUACUGGUUGCAAUAUUUUUUUCCUCCUCAUUGUCAAGAAAGAUCUAAAGAUAAACCAACCCUCUCAUCUUGCUAUGUUAGAGCAAGAACAAUGAGAAAUGUAUAGGACGAGGAAUGUAGCAGCCCAGCGGUAGAAUGGAUUCUUUAAAUUCAUAAACAAAACAUAUUGGAAAACCCAAUGCAAAUUUUUACUAUUAUAAUACAACUUUAAUCUAUUCAUUGAUUUUCUUUAGACUAUGUUUGGAUGUAUGAAUUGGAAGGCACAAUACUGCAUUGGGCCGAAUACCAACUCUCCAAGGAAACUGAAAUCGGUCUGAAUACGAAUUAUGUGCUUUGGUUGUUCACUGAAUUGCCCCAUGGAAUCUUAUAAUUAGGCUUCUAUUUCAAAUCCAGUUUGGAUGACAAACUUCAGAAUUGCAUAUAUACAUGAGUAGGCAGAUUAUGCCUUGCUCUGCAUGUAUCAGAACAAAAUCUACAUAAUUUGCGACUAUAUUUACAGGUCCAUAUACCAGUCAAAUGCAUUCAAAUGAUUCUAGGAAUGCACCACCACAGCAAAAAUGUUCACGCAAUGGAUGCAACAAUUAUUUUCUAGGACAAUAAAGCAGCAAGCACAUCGGCAACCAUCAUUAGAAGCACUAGCAGCAGAAAAUUCCUCCCGGAAUAAAACUCACCACCCAAUUCCCAGCGAGAGUUUCUCUUCUUCUCCACGACAUAGGAAAAUACAUCACAGUAGCUAUCAAGGAUAGCAAUACCAUUCAUCCAUCUCUCUCUCUCUCCACGAGCGCUAUUUAUCGCAUUCAGCAAGGCCGAAGGUUCGUCCCGCUGAAGCGAUUCUACCAAUCGGGUCGGCCCAGUAGCGCACAGUGAAACAGAAAAAUAAGGAAGAAAAUGAGGAGAGCAACUAGUUUGACGAGCACUUCUUCGGAAGCCUCAAAACGAUCAGCAUCACUUAGCGUGCUCUCAGCCGCCACCACGUGUCGCGCUUUGGACGCUCGCUUCGGGUUUUUUUUCACACGCGUUUUGGUUCAUUUUUGGUUUUCAUUUUCUGGUUUUCAUUAUUUGGUUUUGUUGUGUGAAAAAUGAAAACUUUAGUAUGUUUCAUUUUUGUUUCUCAUUUUCUGGUUUUGUUGUGUUUCUUUUGUUUUUGUUCUACAUUUUUUUAUAUUCCGAAAAUAUUUUCUUACUAAAUGAUCGACAUUUCUUGUAUACACUUUCAACAUUGUCCAAACGUUUAUUUAACAUUUUAUAAAUACUUGUUCAACUUUUUUAAUACUUAUUCAACAUUUUUCAAAGUUCAACAUUUUUCAGAUAAUCGUUCAAUAUUUGAAAUACUUGGUCAACAUUUUCCGAAUACUUGUUCAAUAUUGAUAAUACGUAUUCAACAAUUUUCCAAUAAUUUUUUAAUAUUUUUAAAUACUUUUUCAACAUUUUUCAAAGUUCAGUAUUUUUUAAUACUUAUUCAACAUUUUCAAAUACUUGUGCAGCAUUUUUAAUAUACUUGUUCAACAUUUUUUAAUACAUAUUCAAUAUUUUUCAAAUACUUGUUAAACAUUUUUUAAACUUGUUCAACAUUUUUGAAUACCUAUUCAACAUAUUUGAAAUACUUGUUCAACAUUGUUUAAAUACAUAAUCAACUUUUUGCAUACAUAUUUGAAUUUUACUGUAUAAAUUUUGUGUAUAGAUGAUAAAGAAUUUUUUCAGUAUGCAUUCAACAUUUUUUUUCAAAUGCUUAGUGUAUAUUUUUUAAAAUGUUUUUUUUACUUUGAUUGACAGUUAGGUCAUGUUCCCUCUGUCGGUUUAUGCAUCAUGUUCUAAGUACAUGGCAGGAUGGCUAGCAUCACAGCUCCUAGCGAAGCAACCAAGGCUCAAAUCCUGGUACCUACCAGUUUUUCUUUUUCGGUCGAGUUCGAGGCAGGUGCUCGAAGAGGCGUGUCUUGGAGCCACAGAUCCAUUCCAAAGGAGUGAGCAGGGCCUGCCCUGGUGUAUGGUCAGAGGGGCGACAGCCCAUGGCCCAGGACGGAGGGGGCCCAUGAUGUAGUAUAGAUAUACUCCCUCCGUUCUAAAUUUAAGUCUUUGUAGAGAUUCCACUGGGUGGACGACAUACGGAGCAAAAUGAAUGAAUCCACACUUAAAAUAAUCUAUAUACAUCCGUAUGCAGUUCAUAGUGGAAUCUCUACAAAGACUUAUAUUUAAGAACGGAGGGAGUAUAAUAUAGCUGAGUCAGGUGUCGCGUGCUCCGUUCCUAAAUUUAAGUCUUUGUAGAGAUUCCACUGGGUGGACGACAUACGGAGCAAAAUGAAUGAAUCCACACUUAAAAUACAUCUAUAUACAUCCGUAUGCAGUUCAUAGUGGAAUCUCUACAAAGACUUAUAUUUAGAAACGGAGGGAGUAUAAUAUAGCUGAGUGAGGUGUCGCGUGCAUGGAGGACUGUGGUCGCCGUCAUCGAGCUCGUGGACCCACGAUGCGGUUCGAAGCCUAUGGUUCGAUGUGUGAAUUGGAGGACACAACAUUGCAUUGGGCUGAAUACCAAUUCUCCAAGGAAACUGAAAUCGGUCUGAAUACCAAUGAUGUUGUUUGGUUGUUCACUAAAUUGGCUCAUUUAAUCUUAUAGUUAGGCUUCAAUUCCAAAUCCUGUUUGGAUGCCAAACUUUGGAAUUGCAUAUGUAAAUGAGUAUGGAGAUUACUUUGCUCUUUGUGUAUCGAAACAAAAGUUGCAGUCUCUGACUAUAUUUGCAUGUUUAUAUUGCAGUCAAACAUAUUCGAAUGAUUCUAGAAAUGCAGCACGCAACAAAAAUGUUCACACAAUGGCUGCAAUAAUUCUUUUCUAGGAUAAUAUAGCAGCAAGCACACAAGCAACCAUCAUUAGAAGCAUUAGCAGCCGAAAAUUACUCUCUGAAUAAAAUUCAUCGGCAAAAACAUUCAGUGUUCUUACAGACUCGGUGGCAUUCAGCGACAGCAAAAUUCAGUAGCAGCAGAGCACCACCCAAUUACUAUAUUCACGUGUCUAUAUAGCAAUCAAACACAUUCGAAUGAUUCGAGGAAUGCACCACCACAACAAAAAUGUUCAUGCAAUGGCUGCAACAAUUCUUUUCUAGGACAAUAUAGCAGCAAGCACAGAAGCACUAGCAGCAGAAAAUUCCUCUCUGAAUAAAACUCACCAGCAACAACAUUCAGCGUUCUUACCUAGCAUUGUGUCGAUUGGGCCUUCGAGUUCGAGGUAUGUGCUCGAAGGGGUGCGUCGAGGACCUGUUCAUGGCUGGUGACAUUACUGCAGAUCUCGGAGCCGCAGAUCCAUUCCAGAGUGAGGUGUCGCGUGCAUGGAGGACUGUGGUCACAGUCAUCGAACCCCGUGGACCCAUAAUGCACUUCGAAGCCUAUGGUUGCCUCAUGCGUGGGGUAGCUCCUGGCCGACCGCCGGUGUCGAGCUCCUGGGCGCCGCUGCUCUUUUUCUUUUUGGCGAGGGGCGCCGCCGCUCUUCUCCUCUCCCCUUGAUGUAGUGAAGCGAUUUCAGACAAUGCGGAGGUGUGCGGGAAUUGAGUCAAGUUUUUCCCAUCAUUUUUUUUCAUCUAAAAAAAAGUGGUUGUAUUGGGGACUGGCGAGUACCAAUUGACAAAUCCAAAGCCGGAAUACAUUUAGCCAAACGCAAUUAAUGUUUAUUUUCAUUCCAUUUGCAACCCC
rnacentral:lncRNA from 1 species